UACGUAGGGGGCUAGCGUUGUCCGGAAUCAUUGGGCGUAAAGCGCGUGUAGGCGGUUCGGUAAGUCCGCUGUGAAAGUCGGGGGCUCAACCCUCGGAUGCCGGUGGAUACUGUCGGACUAGAGUACGGAAGAGGCGAGUGGAAUUCCUGGUGUAGCGGUGAAAUGCGCAGAUAUCAGGAGGAACACCGAUUGCGAAGGCAGCUCGCUGGGACGUUACUGACGCUGAGACGCGAAAGUGUGGGGAGCGAACAGG
rnacentral:rRNA from 1 species